rnacentral:sRNA from 1 species
UCAUAAAGUUUCGGUGUAACGUCACAGC